rnacentral:rRNA from 1 species
GAUCCUGGCUCAGGACGAACGCUGGCGGCGUGCCUAACACAUGCAAGUCGAGCGGAGACAGUGAGUAGCUUGCUAUGAGCUGUUUUUAGCGGCGGACGGGUGAGUAACGCGUGAGCAACCUUUCCCAGACAGGGGAAUAACACACCGAAAGGUGUACUAAUACCGCNUAAGACCACGGAAUCACAUGGUUCUGGGGUAAAAGAAUUAUCGGUUUGGGGUGGGCUCGCGUCCGAUUAGGUAGUUGGUGAGGUAACGG